GUUUAUUGAAAAGCGGGUUGGUAUACGAGAAUAAACCCCUGAGUGUUGCAGUUAAGAAUUAAGAGCUUUCUUUCAAAUUCAAAUUCAUAUGAAGUUGAAGGCUAUACAUAAGUAAUUCCUUACAUCCAUGGAAUUCGACCUUUUCAUUUCACAAUCAUACACAUCUCCUUAUUUUCUAAGGGAGGUAUGCAAACAUAAGUAAUAAGA
rnacentral:lncRNA from 1 species